CAUGUGUCAAAUAUGGUGACAAAUAGUGUACGUGGAGAUCAAUUCCACCUGCCGUCACAAUCAUUCCUUCACCGGAAAUUGCUUCAGUGCUGGCUCCGACAACAAAAUCAAUCUUAUCCAUUAAGUCUGGAUUUCCACCCUUCCCAAUUGCUAAGAUCUUACCGUCACGAAUCCCAAUAUCAGCUUUAUAAAUCCCAGUGUAAUCAAUGAUUGUAGCAUCAGAAAUAAUCGUGUCAGCAACUAAUGGGUUAUUUUCACGAGUUUCCGUAGCAUUAACUCCCAUGCCAUCACGAAG
rnacentral:sRNA from 1 species